rnacentral:lncRNA from 1 species
GACUAAGUAAAAUAAAUACCAAAUGAAUUUCUAGUAUAUUAAGAAUUUGAGUUAUAAAUAGUAAAUUGGUAAAAUAUUCAAUACCUGAUUUUUAUAAAACUAUAAGUAUUGAAUUUAAACUUCAUAAAGUGCUGAAUUUUAUAGAGAAUAGCUAUUAAAUAUCAUAAGGUGAUAGCAUGUAUAAUUCUUAUUUAUGUAUAGGGUUUAAGUGUUAUAUAUUUAUAAUAAUUAAAUGUUAAAUAUUAAUCACAAAAAAUAUUAUAAUAUUAAUGGACUUUUCACGUAAAAAUUAAAUGCGAAAGAAUUGCACAAAAUUCCGCUGAAUAUAGCACUAUAUGCUCACACUUGCCUCUACUCUUUCAAAUCUUCCCUUGAAAGGGUGAAAGGGAAGGUUAGCUAGCUUUCUUUAGGCAGGCCUAGAGAGGAACUGGUUUCUACAAUUUCUUGCAUCAGAAACCAAAUGCUGUCUAAACAUUGCAAUGAAAGUUUCCACUCUCUCAUUUAACUCUUCCUUUGACAAUUUCUGAUGUUCACUAUCAACUCUAUUUGUUUGCUUUACCUCUUCUGCAUCCCUUUUCCUCUUACUCAUCUCCUGAUUACAUUCU